rnacentral:rRNA from 1 species
CCUACGGGAGGCAGCAGUAGGGAAUCUUCCGCAAUGGGCGAAAGCCUGACGGAGCAACGCCGCGUGAGUGAUGAAGGUCUUCGGAUCGUAAAACUCUGUUAUCAGGGAAGCGGUACCUGAUCAGAAAGCCACGGCUAACUACGUGCCAGCAGCCGCGGUAAUACGUAGGUGGCAAGCGUUAUCCGGAAUUAUUGGGCGUAAAGCGCGCGUAGGCGGUUUUUUAAGUCUGAUGUGAAAGCCCACGGCUCAACCGUGGAGGGUCAUUGGAAACUGGAAAACUUGAGUGCAGAAGAGGAAAGUGGAAUUCCAUGUGUAGCGGUGAAAUGCGCAGAGAUAUGGAGGAACACCAGUGGCGAAGGCGACUUUCUGGUCUGUACUGACGCUGAUGUGCGAAAGCGUGGGGAUCAAACAGGAUUAGAUACCCUUGUAGUC